rnacentral:rRNA from 1 species
UGGGGAAUAUUGCACAAUGGCGCAAGCCUGAUGCAGCAACGCCGCGUGAAGGAAGACGGUUUUCGGAUUGUAAACUUCUGUUCUUAGUGAAGAAAUUUGACGGUAGCUAAGGAGCAAGCCACGGCUAACUACGUGCC